rnacentral:rRNA from 1 species
UACGUAGGGUGCGAGCGUUGUCCGGAAUUAUUGGGCGUAAAGAGCUCGUAGGCGGUGUGUCACGUCGGCCGUGAAAACCUGCAGCUUAACUGUGGGCGUGCGGUCGAUACGGGCAUCACUGGAGUUCGGCAGGGGAGACUGGAAUUCCUGGUGUAGCGGUGAAAUGCGCAGAUAUCGGGAAGAACACCCGUGGCGAAGGCGGCUCUCUGGGACGGUACUGACGCUGAGACGCGAAAGCGUGGGGAGCAAACAGG